AGGGCACCACCAGGAGUGGAGCCUGCGGCUUAAUUUGACUCAACACGGGAAAACUCACCCGGCCCGGACACUGGAAGCAUUGACAGAUUGAGAGCCCUUUCUUGAUUCAGUGGGUGGUGGUGCAUGGCCGUUCUUAGUUGGUGGAGUGAUUUGUCUGGUUAAUUCCGAUAACGAACGAGACUCUAGCCUACUAAAUAGAUCGUCGGCUUACAAACGCCGGCGAGACUUCUUAGAGGGACAGGCGGUGAUUCAACCGCACGAAACAGAGCAAUAACAGGUCUGUGAUGCCCUUAGAUGUCCGGGGCCGCACGCGCGCUACACUGAAGUGAUCAGCGUGCUUUUUCAACCUACUCUGUCAAGAGUGGGGAACCCAAUGAACCUUCUUCGUGAUUGGGAUAGGGGAUUGUAAUUAUUCCCCUUGAACGAGGAAUUCCCAGUAAGCGCGAGUCAUAAGCUCGCGUUGAUUACGUCCCUGCCCUUUGUACACACCGCCCGUCCGCUACUACCGAUUGAAUGUUU
rnacentral:rRNA from 1 species